CUGUCUCUGAUCCCUCCCAGCAAUCACAUUUUCUGUUUCUAAGGCAUGUAUGAAAACUUUACCCCAGCCCCUCUGGUCCUAUGAACUAAUCGACUGCGGUCGUCAUGGUUUGCACAUCAGAACUCUGACCACAGUGAUUGACAGCAAUACUGAACUAGAGGAAGACCUUGGAAGCCUGACACCCACAAGGAAGAGAGGGAGAUUAUCCCACACAGAGCUGUUGGAAUUACUGGGGGAUGAUUUCAAAGGAAAUUUUCUUCUCUAA
rnacentral:lncRNA from 1 species